rnacentral:rRNA from 1 species
UACGUAGGGCGCAAGCGUUGUCCGGAAUUAUUGGGCGUAAAGAGCUCGUAGGCGGCCUGUUACGUCUGCUGUGAAAUCCCGGGGCUUAACCCCGGGCGUGCAGUGGAUACUGGCAGGCUGGAGUAUGGGUAGAGGAAGGUGGAAUUCCCGGUGUAGCAGUGAAAUGCGUAGAGAUCGGGAGGAACACCAGUGGCGAAGGCGGCCUUCUGGACCGAAUACUGACGCUCAUGCACGAAAGCGUGGGGAGCAAACAGG